GACGAACGCUGGCGGCGUGCUUAACACAUGCAAGUCGAGCGGUAAGGCCCUUUCGGGGGUACACGAGCGGCGAACGGGUGAGUAACACGUGGGUGACCUGCCCUCAGCUCUGGGAUAAGCCUGGGAAACCGGGUCUAAUACUGGAUAUGACUCCAUGACGCAUGUUGGUGGGGUAGGAAAGCCUUGUGCGGCUGAGGAGU
rnacentral:rRNA from 1 species